GUGAAUCAUCGAAUUUUUGAGCGCAAAUUGCACUCUCCUCGGAGAGUAUGCCUGUUUGAGGGUCAGCCUAUAAAAAAUCGACAUCGUUGCUGUUUCGCGGUGGCGUUCGUCGGAAAUUGGGUCAUCUUAAAUCCUUUUGGUUUUAAGCGACUUAAAAAUUUCUUUUUGGUUCCAUGAACGUUUCUAAGAUUUAUUUCUUUACACGUUUAAGGUAUCGAUUUUUUUAAUCGUGACCAUCAUUUUGGUUCGCGUUCAUA
rnacentral:misc_RNA from 1 species